GACGAACGCUGGCGGCGUGCUUAACACAUGCAAGUCGAGCGGUAAGGCCCUUUCGGGGGUACACGAGCGGCGAACGGGUGAGUAACACGUGGGUGACCUGCCCUCAGCUCUGGGAUAAGCCUGGGAAACCGGGUCUAAUACUGGAUAUGACUCCAUGACGCAUGUUGUGGGGUGGAAAGCCUUGUGCGGCUGGGGAUGGGCCCGCGGCCUAUCAGCUUGUUGGUGGGGUGAUGGCCUACCAAGGCGACGACGGGUAGCCGGCCUGAGAGGGCGACCGGCCACACUGGGACUGAGACACGGCCCAGACUCCUACGGGAGGCAGCAGUGGGGAAUCUUGCGCAAUGGGCGAAAGCCUGACGCAGCGACGCCGCGUGA
rnacentral:rRNA from 1 species